AGUCUUGCUUCGAAUUUCGACGAGUACGCAUCGCAGUUCUCAUUGUACGCAUUCUCCGCAAGUAAUAGAGAAGAGAUUCAAAUUGGGAGUAGGGAUACUUGGCCUCGUGAGACGACAACAAAGUUAGACCUUUGACCGACUAUUACAGUUACUAGUUCAGUUGUGUUUUGGACUUCGACGAGAGAACUUAGAAAUUUUCUCUGGAUGCCUUUUCUACAAGUUUAAACGAAGAGUUAAAAACCUCGUUGCAAUCGCGCGCGUAGCAAUGAAGUAAUCGAGUGUUUGUACCGCUAAAAUAAAAAUAUCGCGAAGUAGAAGCAGUGUUUGUACGUUUGCGGUUCGCGAUUUAAACUAUAAGUGUUUUUGCAUAGACUGCGUGCAAUGCAGUCUUUAGAGUCAGUGUUUGUCCGCGUAGUUUUUUGAUUUUUUAACAGUUGCACAGACUGUACUUGUAAAAUACAGUAGAGUUGCGUUAAGUAAAUUCAGUGACCGUUCGUUAAUAAGUAACUACCGCGAAUUAGAGUCAGUGCAUCACUGAAGAGGAUCUCGACCAACUUCGAUGUCGACCUACCUCAUUUUCAACCAACUACAAAUCAUCCACCCUCAAUUUCGACCUAAAUCGCGGUGCAGUGUUUUGGAGCCAUCGCAGAACUUCUUAAGUAGUGAGUUAAUUUUUAAGUUCCUCCGAUCACUCAAUCAUGUCGAGGACGAAAGGUCCGAAUCGGCACGAGUGAUUGGUUGUAAUUAAUUAGUA